UUGAAGCUUUUUUUCCUUCUAUAUAUUUAGGUAACGACAAUGUCUUUUUGCAGUACCCGAAAAUGCGGAACAAUGUUGAUGUUCCUGCAGAAAAAUUCAACAAACUUAAAGAAGUUUUAGAAUGGACCAAUGACAUAGUAAAAAAACAGGAUUUGUUGCCGGUACAAAACAUAUGGCAAUUGCUGAUAUUGCUUGGGUGGCUACAUACAGUACUAUAAAGGAAGCUGAACCGAUUGAUUUAGUUCCUUACAAAGAAUUGAACACAUGGUUCACCCAGUGUGUAGCACUUAUUCAAAAUUAUGAGACGUGUAAUGGAAAAGUAUUUGGAGAUUUUUACAAGGCCAAAA
rnacentral:lncRNA from 1 species